rnacentral:rRNA from 1 species
UACGUAGGGGGCAAGCGUUGUCCGGAUUUAUUGGGCGUAAAGAGCGUGUAGGCGGCCAUACAGGUCCGUUGUGAAAACUCGAGGCUCAACCUCGAGACGUCGAUGGAAACCGUAUGGCUAGAGUCCGGAAGAGGAGAGUGGAAUUCCUGGUGGUAGCGGUGAAAUGCGCAGAUAUCAGGAAGAACACCCGUGGCUAAGGCGGCUCUCUAGUACGGUACUGACGCUGAGACGCGAAAGCGUGGGUAGCAAACAGG